GACGAACGCUGGCGGCGUGCUUAACACAUGCAAGUCGAACGGAACUUCUUGGAUAGAGGCUUCGGCCAAUUGAAUUGAAGUUUAGUGGCGGACUGGUGAGUAACGCGUGAGGAACCUGCCUUUCAGAGGGGGACAACAGUUGGAAACGACUGCUAAUACCGCAUGACACAUUCGGGCGGCAUCGCUUGAAUGUCAAAGAUUUUAUCGGCAAAGGAUGGGCCUGCGUCUGAUUAGCUAGUUGGUGGGGUAACGGCCUACCAAGGCGACGAUCAGUAGCCGACCUGAGAGGGUGAUCGGCCACAUUGGAACUGAGACACGGUCCAAACUCCUACGGGAGGCAGCAGUGGGGAAUAUUGCACAAUGGGCGAAAGCCUGAUGCAGCAACGCCGCGUGAAGGAAGAAGGUCUUCGGAUCGUAAACUUCUGUCCUUAGGGAAGAUAAUGACGGUACCUUUGGAGGAAGCCCCGGCUAACUACGUG
rnacentral:rRNA from 1 species